UGGGGGAUAUUGCGCAAUGGGGGCAACCCUGACGCAGCAACGCCGCGUGAAGGAUGAAGGUUUUCGGAUUGUAAACUUCUUUUAUUAAGGACGAAACUUGACGGUACUUAAUGGAUAAGCUCCGGCUAACUACGUGCCAGCAGCCGCGGUAAUACGUAGGGAGCAAGCGUUGUCCGGAUUUACUGGGUGUAAAGGGUGCGUAGGCGGCUUUGCAAGUCAGAUGUGAAAUCUAUGGGCUCAACCCAUAAACUGCAUUUGAAACUGUAGAGCUUGAGUGAAGUAGAGGCAGGCGGAAUUCCCCGUGUAGCGGUGAAAUGCGUAGAGAUGGGGAGGAACACCAGUGGCGAAGGCGGCCUGCUGGGCUUUAACUGACGCUGAGGCACGAAAGCGUGGGUAGCAAACAGGAUUAGAUACCCUGGUAGUCCACGCUGUAAACGAUGAUUACUAGGUGUGGGGGGUCUGACCCCUUCCGUGCCGGAGUUAACACAAUAAGUAAUCCACCUGGGGAGUACGGCCGCAAGGUUGAAACUCAAAGGAAUUGACGGGGGCCCGCACAAGCAGUGGAGUAUGUGGUUUAAUUCGAAGCAACGCGAAGAACCUUACCAGGUCUUGACAUCCAACUAACGAAGUAGAGAUACAUUAGGUGCCCUUCGGGGAAAGUUGAGACAGGUGGUGCAUGGUUGUCGUCAGCUCGUGUCGUGAGAUGUUGGGUUAAGUCCCGCAACGAGCGCAACCCUUGCUAUUAGUUGCUACGCAAGAGCACUCUAAUAGGACUGCCGUUGACAAAACGGAGGAAGGUGGGGACGACGUCAAAUCAUCAUGCCCCUUAUGACCUGGGCUACACACGUACUACAAUGGAUGUUAACAGAGGGAAGCAAGACAGCGAUGUGGAGCAAACCCCUAAAAACAUUCUCAGUUCAGAUUGCAGGCUGCAACCCGCCUGCAUGAAGAUGGAAUUGCUAGUAAUCGCGGAUCAGCAUGCCGCGGUGAAUACGUUCCC
rnacentral:rRNA from 2 species